GGUAUUGAAAUAAGAUUUUAAAUGAGUGCUAAGAGAAUGAUUAGACAAUUAAAAGCUUUCUUUAAUUAAAUAAUUAAAUUUAAUUUUUUUAGUGCAAAAGCAAAAAUGAAAUUUAGGGACAAGAAGACCCUAUGAAUUUUUAUUGUUAAUGAUUUAAAUUUUAAUUAUUAACAAUUUAAUUGGGGUGAUAAAAAAAGAAUAAGUAUCUUUUUAAUUAUAAAAUAAGUUCCGUUUUUAGCGAUUAAAUGAAAUAAAUACUCUAGGGAUAACAGCGUAAUAAUUUUGGAUAGUUCAUAUAGAUAAAAUAGUUUGCGACCUCGAUGUUGGAUUAGGAUUCUUUUUUGGUGAAGAA
rnacentral:rRNA from 1 species